AUGGAGUGUCUCACUGGUCGCUCUCCUGACUACUCAGCUCUUCGUAUGUUUGGAUGUGUGUGCUAUGUCCUUCUUGCCCCACGCGAGCGCACCAAACUGACUGCUCAGUCGGUUGAGUGUGUUUUCCUUUGCUACAGUGACGAGCACAAGGGCUAUCGUUGUUGGGAUCCUGUCGGCCGUCGCUUGCGCAUCUCGCGUGACGUGACAUUUGACGAGUCUCGCUCUUACUUCCCACAUCCUUCUUCCUCAAGCUUCUCCAUGGACGAGAUUUCUUUUCUUCUCCUUCCCGAUUCACCCUGCUAUGUGCCUCAUGUUUCACCUCUUCCUCUGGCACCUCUCAUCCAUUCCCCUUCACCACCGGCACCCUCUUCCCCAUCCUCCUCAUCCACCUCUCCACCAUUAUCUCCAGUCCGUUGCCCUCUCUCAUAA
rnacentral:rRNA from 1 species